UACGAAGGGGGCUAGCGUUGUUCGGAAUUACUGGGCGUAAAGGGCGCGCAGGCGGCCCUUCAAGUCAGGCGUGAAAGCCCCGGGCUCAACCUGGGAACGGCGCGCGAGACGGGGGGGCUGGAGUUCGGGAGAGGAGCGUGGAAUUCCCAGUGUAGAGGUGAAAUUCGUAGAUAUUGGGAAGAACACCGGUGGCGAAGGCGGCGACCUGGUCCUUGACUGACGCUGAGGCGCGAAAGCGUGGGGAGCAAACAGG
rnacentral:rRNA from 1 species